AGGUACCGCUCUGGCGGGAAGGUAAACGGCGUUUCCGUGCUCUGCUCUGGUUCGCCAGAAGUGGCUCAGUCAUGCUGGCCACAUGACCCGGAAGCUGUACGCCGGCCCCCUCGGCCAAUAAAGCGAGAUGAGUGCCGCAACCCCAGAGUCGGCCACGACUGGACCUAAUGGUCAGGGGUCCCUUUACCUUUACCUUUACCCAAGUACUAUCUGAAACCAAAGGGGCACAUGGGUUGCCAGAUGUGAUUCCACCCCCACCCCCUGCUCUCCUACCCAACUAAAGGUGUUGUUCUUCUUUUGUAAAUCAUCUCUGAAAGAAAAACAAAAACAAAACAGUCAUCCUGGUUCCCCUGACCUUUCUCCUGCGCUCAGGAGACCAGAUCAAUAAAUUUCACAAGUGCUGAGCCAGGGGGAAGGAAAGGCCAUAGCCAAAGCUUCCCACUCUAAUGAGAUGGGUGUCCUUUCGUGUGCCAAUGCUGCCCAGAGAAUCAGUUCGUUGUUUGUUCUGAGCGCCAUACUUGUUAGCAUUGGGGAAUCGGCUGGAUUUGAAGCAGUUUAACCUUUUGAGAGUUUUGACUAGGCUGGGCCUUUGCAAGAGGGGAGACAGGUAUAUCAAGGUGAUAGCGUUCGUAUUGAUCAGGGAGGAGAGGUGGUUGGUCAUUUUGCAUCCAAAAUGCAAUGCACAUGGUGCUAAUAGGCGUUAUAAAAUCUUUAUCGCAGGCGGUAUCUGUCUUGGAUUUGAGAUGGUUUUAUGCAUGCGCAGCUGUACACUGUUUUUAUUGCUGUGAUUGUUCUUAUUGUAGGUUGUUUUUAUGCAGUGCUUUUUUCCUGGGGUACACAGAACUGGCACUUUUCUUCUUAAAAGAAAAGCACUGGUUAAAAAUGUGACAACAUGGUGAGUACCGGCACAUUUUUUCCUCUCUCUCCCCCCAAAUUAUUUUUAUUAGUUCUCCAAAUUAUUGCAAAUCAAACUAAAUCACUUUAAUUUAAUACAAUUUCUUUUUUAAAAACCAGGUUUCCUGCUCCUGUUGCAAACAGGUUUCCUCCUGUAGCUGCAUCAUGUCUUCUUUAAUAUCCAUUUGAUCCUUCCCUUGUUGUUAGUCCAUUCUUACAGCUCAUUUUUUUCCUAGAAGGAAAGUACUGAUGGGGUGAGCAGGAGCAAAGUUUAGCUUUGGAGGGGGGAGCCGAGUUGGGAGCUAAUGUGUGUGUAGGGAGAGGGUUGAGAGUGAAGCAGGGGUGGUUGUUUUUCCCCAGCCAGAGCUCACCUGAACUCAGUUCUGGCAACCUCAGAGGUGGACGCCAUUGCCAUUAUAAGAGAACAAGAGAGGUGUACACGGUGAGUUCCAGCACAUCUUUUUUUUUCUGGAAAAAAUAGCACGGCUUUUAUGUAUGCAAUUGUUUUAUCUGCUUCUAUAGAUGCUGUUGUUUUUGUCCAUGGAGUUUUCUUGGCAGGGAUACUGGAGUGGCUUGCCGGUUCCUGCUCCAGGUGGAUCACGUUUAGUCAAAACUCUCCACUAUGACCUGUCCAUCUUGGGUGGCCCUGCACGGCAUAGCUCAUAGCUUCUCUGAGUUAUUCAAGCCCCUUCACCACAACAAGGCAGUGAUCCAUGAGAAGAGAAGACUCCCUGGAAAAGACCCUGAUGUUGGGAAAGAUGGAGGGCACAAGGAGAAGUGGAUGACAGAGGACGAGAUGGUUGGACAGUGUUCUCGAAGCUACUAACAUGAGUCUGAUCAUGGUCCAUGGGGUCACGAAGAGUUGGACACGACUAAACGACUAAACAACAACAACAUAGAUGCUGUUACAUUGCAAAUCACUUUAGGUAAUGAUAUUAGGUGACAUCAGGUGUUUGGGAGCAGGGAAAGACUCAGCUGCAAAUGAACAAACAGAAGAGUUGACUGUGAGUUGUUCCGUGCAAGAAGGACCCACCGUCAGUGUUGAUGGGCACUUAAAGCAAGCCCCAUGGAAGUUGUACAUUUUCAGAUAGGGUUUGAAUUUAAGCCACACACACACACACACACACACACCUUUUUAAAUUAAAUUUUCUAAUUUACAUUUCCAAAUAUUCAUUUAAACAACCUUAAAUCAGUGACUUCCCUUCUUCUUUUUCCGUAGUUCAUCGUGACUAUCAAACGUCCCUGCAUAUUUUACAAGAACCAAACCAUUCAGUAUACCAUUGUUACAUCCAUCAAAACCUAUUUACACUGCUGAAUUUGUCUUAAUGCUACCAGCCUUUUUAAAUGAACACAAUUUUCACCCAUAUAUUCAGUAAACAUCUUCCAG